UUUUCACCAUCGAUUCUCUUCACCUCUUUGUCCGUUCACCAUCUCUUCUGUCUUUCACCAUCGAUUCAAGAAAACAAAGAGUUUGAGAAUUUCAAAAAGUUAUGGUGAAAUUUGAUACUUGAGGAACAGAGCUUAUGCUUCAUUGCAAAGCUGAAGACAAAAACAGAGAAGCAACAACAUCUCCAUGCUUCUCAAGUUAUUGUGCUAGUCUCAACUCUCAAAGCUCAUUUCAUUGUGUUUUUACUACUUGGUGUUUACAUGUUAAAUUAAUUUUAGGUUGAUGUUGUGUUGUAAUUAUUUUGACUUAAUCCUUUAAUUUCUGUAAUUUAUUUCUGUUGGAAAGGUUACAAUUUUUAUUUUUA